CAAACCAAAGCUGGCGACCGGCGCACGGGUGAGUAACACGUAUCCAACCUGCCUCAUACUCGGGGAUAGCCUUUCGAAAGAAAGAUUAAUAUCCGAUAGCAUAUAUUUCCCGCAUGGGUUUUAUAUUAAAGAAAUUCGGUAUGAGAUGGGGAUGCGUUCCAUUAGUUUGUUGGGGGGUAACGGCCCACCAAGACUACGAUGGAUAGGGGUUCUGAGAGGAAGGUCCCCCACAUUGGUACUGAGACACGGACCAA
rnacentral:rRNA from 1 species